rnacentral:rRNA from 1 species
CUUGCUUCUCUUGAGAGCGGCGGACGGGUGAGUAAUGCCUAGGAAUCUGCCUGGUAGUGGGGGAUAACGUCCGGAAACGGACGCUAAUACCGCAUACGUCCUACGGGAGAAAGCAGGGGACCUUCGGGCCUUGCGCUAUCAGAUGAGCCUAGGUCGGAUUAGCUAGUUGGUGGGGUAAUGGCUCACCAAGGCGACGAUCCGUAACUGGUCUGAGAGGAUGAUCAGUCACACUGGAACUGAGACACGGUCCAGACUCCUACGGGAGGCAGCAGUGGGGAAUAUUGGACAAUGGGCGAAAGCCUGAUCCAGCCAUGCCGCGUGUGUGAAGAAGGUCUUCGGAUUGUAAAGCACUUUAAGUUGGGAGGAAGGGCAGUAAAUUAAUACUUUGCUGUUUUGACGUUACCGACAGAAUAAGCACCGGCUAACUCUGUGCCAGCAGCCGCGGUAAUACAGAGGGUGCAAGCGUUAAUCGGAAUUACUGGGCGUAAAGCGCGCGUAGGUGGUUCGUUAAGUUGGAUGUGAAAUCCCCGGGCUCAACCUGGGAACUGCAUUCAAAACUGACGAGCUAGAGUAUGGUAGAGGGUGGUGGAAUUUCCUGUGUAGCGGUGAAAUGCGUAGAUAUAGGAAGGAACACCAGUGGCGAAGGCGACCACCUGGACUGAUACUGACACUGAGGUGCGAAAGCGUGGGGAGCAAACAGGA